AGAGGGGGGUUCCCCCCCAGGAGCUGGAGGAGGGAGCGGGCACGCUCCCAGAGGGACGACUCCUCAUCCCAGAGCGGGAGGAGGCGGAGGGCCACUCCGCCACCCCGCAGGCCCAGCCCAGUAAAGAUCCGGGAGGACUUUGGGGACCCCAGGGAUGCGGGGGCUCCCAAUCGCCCUAGCCCCCACAGCAGUCGGGACUCGGAGUGCCCCCUGCUGUGUGGGGUAGCUACCCGGAAGCUCCGGCAGCAUGUCACGCUGACCCAUUUGCCGCCGGUCUUCCGGCGUGGCGUCCCCCCCUCCCGGGAGGUCUCGUCCAUCCGGGAGAGGGUCCUGAAGUGGUUGGCCAGGACCCUCCUCGGCCCAGGUGCCACUCUGUCCGAGUUGGCAUCCUCCUUACGGGCCGAGGAGGUGUUCCCGGACCCCCACGGUGGCCUCACACCAGACUUGGUGGAGGCCAUGGACAGUCUGUGUCGUAGUGUGGGGGAAGCCCCUCCCCCAGUCUACGAGUUGCGCGGGGACGUCCAUCCCGCACUCCUCCUCCAUUGGAGGGCACAGGCUGUCUUGCUUGUCAAGAUAGACCCCUGCUCGAGGGCGGCCUACAAGAGGUUGGCCACCAGCGAGAGGAUAGGUCGUAGGCGCUUGAGGGACUUCUCUAUGAAGCCCAACUCGUCGGGGGGUCCCUCACGCGCCAGAACGAGGCCCUCCUCGGGGGCUCCGGCUCCGGGGACAGCUGCUCCCACGGCGCCGCCGGUAGCUCCUGAGGAGGCCCCGUUCAUCCGCCAGGAGCCGAGAGAUGCCUCCCCCUUCUCAGACGAUGGGCCUCCCCCCCUUGAACCGAUUCAGCCAGAGGGGUGGGAGUUGGACUUUGAGGAGGAGGAGCCGGUCGAGUGGUGCCCUCUUGGACCAGAGAUGAUCGAAGGGGGUGCCACCGACCAGCAUCAGGGUGAGGGGGAUUCGUCCCCCAUGCUCGAGUUUGGGCAGAGCCCUUUGGACGGGGAUAUAGGGGGCCCUCCGGUCGGUGGGGAGGAGUUCCCUAGGCCGCCCCCUGGGUUCGUUACCUCCCAGUACAUGACUGCGGAGAUGCCUCGGGGGUGGCAUGGUGCCCGCAGGGUGACCCUGGCGGUGAUCCAGGAGUGGUAAGUCGCUCCUGGAUGUUUUCCCCUGGUUUUGGGGGGAGGUCACAGUUUCAGUGUGAGAGCCAGGGGUGACCCUGGUCCACAUGGGGGGUGGAUUUUAUGGGGGGUUUCCCUUUACCACCGGGCAGGGGUGCAUGGCCCAGGACAGGCUGUCCGGGUUUGCACUGGGGACUAAUUCGGGGGGUUUCCCCGUCAGAAGUUUAGGGGGUGUGGGUCACAGGGUAUCCCUGUUCCACAUCGGGUAGGGACCUUAGAGGUCUCAGUUAAAUUCUUCCGGGAGUAUGCCCGGGUCCUCUCUUUGCCGGAGUUUUCCGGCGUCCUCGGAUAAGUCUCUCCGAGGGGGCGUGGCGCGCCCACCUUGAUUACUGGUUAGACCCAUUUCUCCGUCCUUCAGAGAAAACGGGGGGGAGUGUAGUAUCUGGGGAGUCGUCCCCAGUACGACCUGUUUGGCAGACAGCUUCCGGAGCCCGGAUGACAGUUCCCGCCAAGAGGCAUCUUUGAACUACAGCUUGAGCAAUAUAGACGUUCAGUAUACGAAGAGAUACACACACAGUUUAAAAGGCACUUACAGCGUUAUGCAUAGAAGCCGUCCUGGUAGAGAGAAUCUGCCGCUUGACCAGUAUCACUGAUCGGGUCAGUGGUUAUCCCCAGUACCUCAAGGUCACUAUCACAGAGGAGUUCCCCCAUAGCAUCACUAUUCCACGUGAACUCAAUCCCAAUAGUAUGAUGAAAGGUUUACUCCAGAUACCCCAGGAUUACAGCCGUGUUCUUAUUUAGAUGUUGUCCACUAAGUCACUGGUGGGGAUGACAGCACUACCCUGCACACAGACAUUGAAUGGAGCUGCCUGGUCCAUUAUCAGAAGAGUGGGCAGCACUUUGCACCCGGUCAAUGAAUUUUUCUUGAGAAGCAUUACAAGGGACUUGUAUGAAUAGGCAGAAGAAAUUUUCUUAACUAACUACCCCAUCAUUGCCUGGUGUUGGAGACUGAACACUUUAUUGAAAAUUGAUGGGAUGUAGGAAUCAGUGGAUGUCAUCAUUUGCCCUGAGAAGAGUCAGAGAACUGCUUGGGCCUCACGAGAUGCUGACACCAUGCAGUAGAGCUGUUCCCAUCGAUAUCUCUUAAAACAGACAGAUUGAGAUUCUCUUAACAUCUGAUCCAUUUCUGGAGACAAACUUUUGUAUGGAGCUGGGCAGCAGUUACUUGAGAUGUCCAGCUGAUUGAUGAGGAUAAUUUCCCUCAGACUAUGACAUGUUGUAGGACUUGGACAGCUCUAUUGCUGAGAAAAUAUCAGGAUGGUGGGGACUUAAAUAAGUGGUGUGAUGUUAUUGAUGUUAAACAGAAGACUGUGACCUUGAAUCUGAAGAUCUGUGGUGAAGACUGGACGUUUGGGGUCACUCUCUGUUACAGUACUACAAAUCUAACAGUGUCCCACUCAGCCACAAAGAGGUUGUCUCUGAUGUCUACACAUAAACCUAAUGGAGACUCUAAAUCACAGUGAAUGUAACGGAGGAACUGUCCGUCCUGAUCUAGGAUGUGGAUACGGUCAUUGUUAUAGUCUGCUGUCAGGAUGUGACUCUGGCUGUCUGUAGUGAUGCCGAAUGGAGUAAAUGGUUGCUUGGUAUUAGAGGGAUGACCAGUGUAUCUAAAUCGGAGUUUUCCUGACUGAUUGACCACCACUACUGCUCUAGCUUCACUGUCAACCACACAGAUAUCCAGGUUCUUGUUCUCACUGAGGUAUUUAUCGUUAAGAACAGAGGAAUAGAGAGGACGACCCUGAUCAUCAAACUGAAUGCUUUGUUUCUCUGUGGAGCCGGAGUAACGCACGACUUUGGAUUGUUUGUUAUCAUCACUGUCCAUGGUAACCAGGAGAUCAUCAGAGGCGGUACUGCAGACAUUGAGAGGGUACCACCCCUGUAGUGUGAUCACGAUUGAGUUGAGUGGAACAAUGAACCUCCGGAUAUCUAUGUACAUUUACACGUGUAGGAUUAAACUUCUGUUGUACUCGCGUAUGUGAGUUUAUCCUGUA